rnacentral:lncRNA from 1 species
AGGACAGGACAUCCAGGGGACACCUAAAGCUAUUCGUGCCACCAGUGACAGAGCCACGGUUGCAGCCUGGUUCCAGGGUGAGGUCUCAUCAGGCCCACUUGACUAAGAGGAAUAACCACGGUCUCCAAAUCUAGUUUUAUCAGAAAUGAAAGUGAUACUGUGACUAUAUCUGCUCGAUACCUGUCUCUUAUCUCAAUUAUUCCAAACUUAGGAGACUGCUUCCCUGGCCAACUCCAACAGUAGGAGUCUAUCUCUCAACUCAGCCGGCCUCUGCGUUGGAUCUCUUUGUCUCGAAGAUUUGCAACUCUUUCUGGCAACCUCAGAAAUGGUGUGGCCACGGUGGAGUCUCGUUCCAUCUGUGUUCUCUUCAACUAAUGAAAAACUAUGGAGGUCUCAUUAGAUACACGGGAAGUCUCUGUGCUUUGGAAUUGGCUGAUCGAGAAUUUGGAGAACGGCAGUCAUCGUGGACAAUGAUGCACACCACUGUAAGGGGGCCAGCACGCGGUGAGUACUUGAUGGAUGGCAGCCCGAUGUGUUGAAGAGCAGUUACUUGCACGGCUGCAAGAGGGAAAUAUAAAAAGCAAUGGGAGAAGGGGCAGGGAGAGGAUCAGGAGACAGCCUCUUGCUCAUCGAGACUGACCUGAAAGUCUUGGCACCAAAGGGCAAUUGAGCUUUCUGCUUUGCCGUGAACGAAAAGUGAGAGGCCAGUCUUAAAUUUCAGCUCUGGGGUCCAGAAUGCCUAUUUUUACCAGUGUGCUGUGCAAAUCAUAUAAGGAUUGAGUGGCCAUUUAGUUUUAUCUUCCCUUGCUGGCCUGCUGUUUAACCGGGGGCUGGGAUCUGCUUUGUGUUAAAGAUUAUCUCCCCGGAGAAAGCGUAAUCUGGUCUUAUUAUGUCUCGUAGGUGGAGGCCAACUGCUUUCCCACGGUCUCCGUCUGAAUCCUGCCUUCCCC